rnacentral:ncRNA from 2 species
AGUCGAUAAAGGCAAACCCAUCGAAAGAUGGGGGCGCAAAGCCAUGGGUCUAAGGCCCCUCCAGGGCUAUGAUUGCCAGGUUGCCGAA